CCAGCUAUCACUCUGCUUAAGAAGAACCAGCUAUCACUCUGCUUAAGAAGACCCAGCUAUCACUCUGCUUAAGAACCAGGUCCCCACAGUAGUGAAGGUUCUCCACAAGCAGCUGAAAGAAAAGAGCAUGAAGUCUAGACAGGGCUAUUUGUCUGCUGACAGAGCUGGCCAACGUACUGCCAGGGGUCCUAGGGGAACACAUACCAGCUCUCACAUCAGGUAUCAUUUACUCAGAGAAGUCUACCUCGUCCAACAUGAAGAUCAAUGCCCUCUAUGUCCUCCUGUGCAUCCACCCUCCUGACGUCUUCCAGCCUCAUGAAGACAAACUACCUGCAUCUACAUUUGACGUCAAGCACUACGUGAAGGACUUGUUCGCUGGCACCCUGAAGAGGCUGAAGGCUGCAGACAAAGACCAGGAAGUGAAGGAGAGGGCCAUUUCUUGUAUGGGUCACAUGUGUCACCUAGGAUACCUAGAUUGUCCUGGAGAGGCUGAAGAACRAGAUCACCAGGUAGGCAGGGUAGAGAGGCGGACCAUCAGUAUCCAAGGUAACAUCAUCUGCUGAAGAACGAGAUCACCAGGUAGGCAGGGUAGAGAGGCAGACCAUCAGUAUCCAAGGUAACAUCUUCUGCUGAUGUACCUUGACCCCUAAACUGCUCCAUCCCUCCAACACAGUGCAGCUUCCCUGGACGGAGAGCUAUUUCRGGGGGUUAAGUGCCUUGCUUAAGGGCACCAUAGUAGUAUUUUCUCUACUAUUCUCUUCCCAGGUUGACAGCGGUGAAGACCAUGACUCAUCUCCGCAUUGCCCCUUAGGAUUGACCUCUGACCUUYACUCACAGAGGGCAUCCCCAUCCUGGGCUCCUUCCCCGGGAAGAACCAACACGCCCUCAAGCUGAGCAUGCCGACCGGUCUCAACAUGAUCGUGAGGAACAGCAACAGCCUGAAGCCACCCAUGAUCGAUGCCGUGCUCAAAAAGCUACCUGCUUUGAUUGAGSAGAGCAAUAUGCACAUAUCCCAGGUGGCAGUCCUCACCUGUAUGGCUAAGGUGUGCCCCUCCUCCCUGUCCAAGAUCGGGAACACUGUCCUACCUGGGGUGUUGCAUCUGGUUMAUUCCCCAGUUGCUCCAAUGAGGGUCUCUCUCCGCCAUACUCACUCCCUCAGAAAUUAUUCCUAUUCUGCCUUGAAAGUUGAUAGUUGGAAACAUGUGAUAUUAAAAGGACUUUGAAAAAUA